rnacentral:rRNA from 1 species
GGAAGUUGACGGGGAGCACCACAACGGGUGGAGCUUGCGGUUUAAUUGGAUUCAACGCCGGAAUCCUACCGGGACCGACAGCAAUAUGAAGGCCAGGCUGAAGACUUUGCCGGAUUAGCUGAGAGGUGGUGCAUGGCCGUCGUCAGUUCGUACUGUGAAGCAUCCUGUUAAGUCAGGCAACGAGCGAGACCCACGCCCACAGUUGCCAGCGUACUCUCUGGAGUGACGGGUACACUGUGGGACCGCCGCUGCUAAAGCGGAGGAAGGAAUGGGCAACGGUAGGUCAGUAUGCCCCGAAUAUCCCGGGCUACACGCGAGCUACAAUGGUUGGUACAAUGGGUAUCUACCCCGAAAGGGGACGGGAAUCUCCUAAAACCAAUCUUAGUUCGGAUUGAGGGCUGCAACUCGCCCUCAUGAAGCUGGAAUCCGUAGUAAUCGCGUUUCAACAGAACGCGGUGAAUACGUCCCUGCUCCUU